rnacentral:rRNA from 1 species
UACGGAGGGUGCGAGCGUUGUCCGGAAUCACUGGGCGUAAAGGGCGCGUAGGUGGCCUGUGGAAGUCUGCGGUGAAAGCCCGGCGCUCAACGCCGGGUCGGCCGUGGAUACUCUCGGGCUCGAGCUUACUAGAGGCAGAUGGAAUUCCGGGUGUAGCGGUGGAAUGCGUAGAGAUCCGGAAGAACACCGGUGGCGAAGGCGGUCUGCUGGGGUAAUGCUGACACUGAUGCGCGACAGCGGUGGGGAGCAAACAGG